rnacentral:rRNA from 1 species
AUUGAACGCUAGCGGCAUGCCUUACACAUGCAAGUCGAACGCGUGGCGGACGGGUGAGUAAUAUCUGGGAAACUGCCCGAUGGCGGGGGAUAACUACUGGAAACGGUAGCUAAUACCUCAUACCAUCGGAGGUGCCCAGAUGGGAUUAGCUAGUAGGUGGGGUAACGGCUCACAUAGGCGACGAUCCCUAGCUGGUCUGAGAGGAUGACCAGCCACACUUGAACUGAGAUAAGGUCCAGACGCCUACGGGAGGCAGCAGUGGGGAAUAUUGCACAAUGGGCGCAAUCCUGAUGCAGCCAUGCCGCGUGUAUGAUGAAGGCCUUCGGGUUGUAAAGUACUUUUAGCGAGGAGGCGUUACUCGCAGAAGAAGCACCGGCUAACUCCGUGCCAGCAGCCGCGGUAAUAC